AUUGAACGCUGGCGGCAUGCCUUACACAUGCAAGUCGAACGGUAACAGGUCUUCGGAUGCUGACGAGUGGCGAACGGGUGAGUAAUACAUCGGAACGUGCCCAGACGUGGGGGAUAACGAGGCGAAAGCUUUGCUAAUACCGCAUACGAUCUAAGGAUGAAAGCAGGGGACCGCAAGGCCUUGCGCGUUUGGAGCGGCCGAUGGCAGAUUAGGUAGUUGGUGGGAUAAAAGCUUACCAAGCCGACGAUCUGUAGCUGGUCUGAGAGGACGACCAGCCACACUGGGACUGAGACACGGCCCAGACUCCUACGGGAGCCAGCAGUGGGGAAUUUUGGACAAUGGGCGAAAGCCUGAUCCAGCAAUGCCGCGUGCAGGAUGAAGGCCUUCGGGUUGUAAACUGCUUUUGUACGGAACGAAAAGGCUCUGGCUAAUACCUGGGGCACAUGACGGUACCGUAAGAAUAAGCACCGGCUAACUACGUG
rnacentral:rRNA from 1 species